GUUUACAUCAAAUAGUUAGCUUCCUUUCUGAUUUUGUGCACAUGCUUGAUUCCUUGGAGGUUAUAAUAGAUCCUACGAGUCCAAGAUGAGUCCCGAGAUGAAAAAGAGAGUAUCAACAGUUUUAAAUUGUGCAAGGGUGACAUUUCAAUAUGGUUUCAUUCCAGCUGUGAUAUAUCUAGGUUUCAAAAAUGGGGCUGAUGAAGGAAUGCCAGAUCUGACCUGGCAGAGUCUCUUGUGGCAGUGAGUUGGACUUCAUCAUCAUGUUAUCAUUGCUUCACCUGGCUUAUCAAAUCAACAGUGGAGGGCUUGUGUGUCUGAACUAGUUAAUGUGGUAGAUUCAAAUCUACAAGUGACAAAAAACACCAUGUCAUGAAUGGCAACAACUGUAAUCUAUGAAAACCAUGCAGACCAUGUGAUAGAAAUAACUUUUUAGUACAAAGUUGUCAUCCAGAUGUAUAUUAUUUCUCUUUCAUGUGUAAUAUUAAAAUUUUAUUGACUA